rnacentral:piRNA from 2 species
GUGGGCUGGAGAGAUGGCUCAGAGGU